rnacentral:tRNA from 3 species
GCCGCGGUAGUAUAGCCCGGACAAGUAUGCGGGCCUUUCGAGCCCGUGACCCGGGUUCAAAUCCCGGCCGCGGCA